rnacentral:rRNA from 1 species
CAAAAGUGAAAGACGGUCUUGCUGUCACUUAUAGAUGGAUCCGCGCUGCAUUAGCUAGUUGGUAAGGUAACGGCUUACCAAGGCAACGAUGCAUAGCCGACCUGAGAGGGUGAUCGGCCACACUGGAACUGAGACACGGUCCAGACUCCUACGGGAGGCAGCAGUAGGGAAUCUUCCGCAAUGGGCGAAAGCCUGACGGAGCAACGCCGCGUGAGUGAUGAAGGUCUUCGGAUCGUAAAACUCUGUUAUUAGGGAAGAACAUAUGUGUAAGUAACUGUGCACAUCUUGACGGUACCUAAUCAGAAAGCCACGGCUAACUACGUGCCAGCAGCCGCGGUAAUACGUAGGUGGCAAGCGUUAUCCGGAAUUAUUGGGCGUAAAGCGCGCGUAGGCGGUUUUUUAAGUCUGAUGUGAAAGCCCACGGCUCAACCGUGGAGGGUCAUUGGAAACUGGAAAACUUGAGUGCAGAAGAGGAAAGUGGAAUUCCAUGUGUAGCGGUGAAAUGCGCAGAGAUAUGGAGGAACACCAGUGGCGAAGGCGACUUUCUGGUCUGUAACUGACGCUGAUGUGCGAAAGCGUGGGGAUCAAACAGGAUUAGAUACCCUGGUAGUCCACGCCGUAAACGAUGAGUGCUAAGUGUUAGGGGGUUUCCGCCCCUUAGUGCUGCAGCUAACGCAUUAAGCACUCCGCCUGGGGAGUACGACCGCAAGGUUGAAACUCAAAGGAAUUGACGGGGACCCGCACAAGCGGUGGAGCAUGUGGUUUAAUUCGAAGCAACGCGAAGAACCUUACCAAAUCUUGACAUCCUUUGACAACUCUAGAGAUAGAGCCUUCCCCUUCGGGGGACAAAGUGACAGGUGGUGCAUGGUUGUCGUCAGCUCGUGUCGUGAGAUGUUGGGUUAAGUCCCGCAACGAGCGCAACCCUUAAGCUUAGUUGCCAUCAUUAAGUUGGGCACUCUAAGUUGACUGCCGGUGACAAACCGGAGGAAGGUGGGGAUGACGUCAAAUCAUCAUGCCCCUUAUGAUUUGGGCUACACACGUGCUACAAUGGACAAUACAAAGGGCAGCGAAACCGCGAGGUCAAGCAAAUCCCAUAAAGUUGUUCUCAGUUCGGAUUGUAGUCUGCAACUCGACUACAUGAAGCUGGAAUCGCUAGUAAUCGUAGAUCAGCAUGCUACGGUGAAUACGUUCCCGGGUCUUGUACACACCGCCCGUCACACCACGAGAGUUUGUAACACCCGAAGCCGGUGGAGUAACCUUUUAGGAGCUAGCCGUCGAAGGUGGGACAAAUGAUUGGGGUGAAGUCGUAACAAGGUAGCCGUAUCGGAAGGUGCGGCUGGAUCACCU